rnacentral:rRNA from 1 species
UACAGAGGGUGCAAGCGUUAAUCGGAAUUACUGGGCGUAAAGCGCGCGUAGGCGGCCAACUAAGUCAGACGUGAAAUCCCUCGGCUUAACCGGGGAACUGCAUCUGAUACUGGAUGGCUUGAGUUCGGGAGAGGGAUGCGGAAUUCCAGGUGUAGCGGUGAAAUGCGUAGAUAUCGAGAGGAACACCUGCGGCGAAGGCGGGUUGCUGGGCCGACACUGACGCUGAUGCGCGAAAGCCAGGGGAGCGAACGGG